rnacentral:rRNA from 1 species
GGAACUGUAGCGUAUAGGUGCAACUGUUCAAUUGGCUUUACAUACUCCAAGUUCCCUUGACUGAGGCUACAGUCCAGAGAAGGUGCUAGACCUGUAGGAGUAGUGAAACCAGUUGAUAUUGGUUGUACUAUUGAGUCGAGUUGUUUGAAAUUGCAGCUCAAAGUAGGUGGUAAACCUCAUCUAAGGCUAAAUAUGACCACGAGACCGAUAGCGAACAAGUACCGUGAGGGAAAGUUGCAAAGAACUUUGAAGAGAGAGUUCAAGAGGGCGUGAAACCGCUUAGAUGGAAGCGGAUAGAGUUAACAAAACACAGCAGCAAUCAUCCGGUUAUAUGCGGAGUAUGUUUUUCUGUUAACGCUUACACUUUACUGUUGUACGCAUGUACGGCAGCGGUAGUUUGCGUUCGGUUAACAUAUAAAGCAUUUGACCGGUGCUCUUGCUGUUGUUAUGCACUGAGGGGCUUGCAAUAGGUACGGAACAGCUAAAUGAAAGAGGCCUAUAUUUGUUUUGAAUAUAGAAACCUUUUAUUGGUUUGUCCGCUAUCCUUUGUAAGUUCAGCAAGCAUCUACGUCUGCUUAAUAGCGUAGUUCAACUGCUUUGUAGUAAGUGUAGAGUGAUUUGGAUUUGUCGUUUUUUCGGCCUGUCCUAUCCUUUGUGUUUACUUCUAUUGCUGGUUGUUAACUACUGUAGACGGAGCUCCACAGUGUAUACAAAAAGUUAAUCACCUAUCCGACCCGUCUUGAAACACGGACCAAGGAGUUUAGCAUAUAUGCAAGUCAUUGGGUGUUGAAAACCUAAAGGCGUAAUGAAAAUAAGUAUAUGGGAUCUGUAUGCUGCUGAUUGUUGUGUACAGCGCACCAUAGUCCUGUUAAUAUUGCAUGCGAUUUAGCGGAGAUAGAGCACAUAUGCUGAGACCCGAAAGAUGGUGAACUAUGCUUGAGC